rnacentral:rRNA from 1 species
CUGAAUCAGUGUGUGUGUUAGUGGAAGCGUCUGGAAAGGCGUGCGAUACAGGGUGACAGCCCCGUACACAAAAAUGCACAUAUUGUGAGCUCGAUGAGUAGGGCGGGACACGUGGUAUCCUGUCUGAAUAUGGGGGGACCAUCCUCCAAGGCUAAAUACUCCUGACUGACCGAUAGUGAACCAGUACCGUGAGGGAAAGGCGAAAAGAACCCCGGCGAGGGGAGUGAAAAAGAACCUGAAACCGUGUACGUACAAGCAGUGGGAGCACUCUUAUGGGUGUGACUGCGUACCUUUUGUAUAAUGGGUCAGCGACUUAUAUUCUGUAGCAAGGUUAACCGAAUAGGGGAGCCGAAGGGAAACCGAGUCUUAACUGGGCGUUAAGUUGCAGGGUAUAGACCCGAAACCCGGUGAUCUAGCCAUGGGCAGGUUGAAGGUUGGGUAACACUAACUGGAGGACCGAACCGACUAAUGUUGAAAAAUUAGCGGAUGACUUGUGGCUGGGGGUGAAAGGCCAAUCAAACCGGGAGAUAGCUGGUUCUCCCCGAAAGCUAUUUAGGUAGCGCCUCGUGAAUUCAUCUCCGGGGGUAGAGCACUGUUUCGGCAAGGGGGUCAUCCCGACUUACCAACCCGAUGCAAACUGCGAAUACCGGAGAAUGUUAUCACGGGAGACACACGGCGGGUGCUAACGUCCGUCGUGAAGAGGGAAACAACCCAGACCGCCAGCUAAGGUCCCAAAGUCAUGGUUAAGUGGGAAACGAUGUGGGAAGGCCCAGACAGCCAGGAUGUUGGCUUAGAAGCAGCCAUCAUUUAAAGAAAGCGUAAUAGCUCACUGGUCGAGUCGGCCUGCGCGGAAGAUGUAACGGGGCUAAACCAUGCACCGAAGCUGCGGCAGCGACGCUUAUGCGUUGUUGGGUAGGGGAGCGUUCUGUAAGCCUGUGAAGGUGUGCUGUGAGGCAUGCUGGAGGUAUCAGAAGUGCGAAUGCUGACAUAAGUAACGAUAAAGCGGGUGAAAAGCCCGCUCGCCGGAAGACCAAGGGUUCCUGUCCAACGUUAAUCGGGGCAGGGUGAGUCGACCCCUAAGGCGAGGCCGAAAGGCGUAGUCGAUGGGAAACAGGUUAAUAUUCCUGUACUUGGUGUUACUGCGAAGGGGGGACGGAGAAGGCUAUGUUGGCCGGGCGACGGUUGUCCCGGUUUAAGCGUGUAGGCUGGUUUUCCAGGCAAAUCCGGAAAAUCAAGGCUGAGGCGUGAUGACGAGGCACUACGGUGCUGAAGCAACAAAUGCCCUGCUUCCAGGAAAAGCCUCUAAGCAUCAGGUAACAUCAAAUCGUACCCCAAACCGACACAGGUGGUCAGGUAGAGAAUACCAAGGCGCUUGAGAGAACUCGGGUGAAGGAACUAGGCAAAAUGGUGCCGUAACUUCGGGAGAAGGCACGCUGAUAUGUAGGUGAAGUCCCUUGCGGAUGGAGCUGAAAUCAGUCGAAGAUACCAGCUGGCUGCAACUGUUUAUUAAAAACACAGCACUGUGCAAACACGAAAGUGGACGUAUACGGUGUGACGCCUGCCCGGUGCCGGAAGGUUAAUUGAUGGGGUCAGCGCAAGCGAAGCUCUUGAUCGAAGCCCCGGUAAACGGCGGCCGUAACUAUAACGGUCCUAAGGUAGCGAAAUUCCUUGUCGGGUAAGUUCCGACCUGCACGAAUGGCGUAAUGAUGGCCAGGCUGUCUCCACCCGAGACUCAGUGAAAUUGAACUCGCUGUGAAGAUGCAGUGUACCCGCGGCAAGACGGAAAGACCCCGUGAACCUUUACUAUAGCUUGACACUGAACAUUGAGCCUUGAUGUGUAGGAUAGGUGGGAGGCUUUGAAGUGUGGACGCCAGUCUGCAUGGAGCCGACCUUGAAAUACCACCCUUUAAUGUUUGAUGUUCUAACGU